CUUUUUGGUACAAUCAGGACUCCUCAGACAGGUCCUUCUGGGGGGCAGGGAGCUUAGACCCCAGACUUGGGGUACCCUCCAUUUCCCCAGUCCACUCCCAACUCAAAACCCCCUCCAGCCAACUCACCCAACCUCCCCCUGGCUCCUCCUCCAGCCUUUGUCCAGCUUCCCGGGCAAAAGGUUUCAGAGUAGCAGCCGUGUUAGUCUGUAUUCGCAAAAAGAAAAGGAGGACUUGUG